CGAAAUAUAUAAUUGGUGUAGAUUAUUAAUGCUGUAGAUUAUUGCCAUAGCAGAGGUGUUUACCAUAGAGAUCUUAAGCCUGAGAAUUUGCUUCUAGAUUCUAAAAGGGUGCUUAAAGAUUCAGAUUUUGGUUUGACUGUUUUAUCGUAAAAGUUCGCGUUAGCACGUCGUCUUCAUGUCUUAUGACAUUUCUCUGUGUGUGUGUGAUAAUAUACAUACAACAUCUUAUCCUUUUUGUGUCGGAGGACGGUUUACUUUACACAACAUGUGGAACACCAAAUUAUGUUGCUCCAGAGGUGACAAAAAUAAAGGGUAUCAUGGAGCUAAAGCAGAUGUGUGGUCAUGUGGUGUUAUACUCCGUCUUAAUGGCUGGUUACCUGCCUUUUGAUGACUCCAAUUUGAUAUGUCUGUAUAGUCAGACACCUGCGAUGUUUGUAUUUACACAGAACAAUGCUGUCAUGCUGGUGACCAAUUUGAUUUAUGUCUUCUAAAGGAGUUCCCUGUCUGCCUGCAGAUAUUCAAGGCAAACCUCAAUUUUACUUCAUGAUUCUCGCCAGGUGCAAGGGUCUUAAUCAAGAGCUUUCUCGAUCCUAAUCCGUCGACCGUAUGUGACUUUCUCCUUUUACUCGUGUUUUCGAUGUUCUCUUGAAGGUGUAUGCAGAUAUAUAGGCUUCAUUCUUCAUUUCUUUGUGAUUAAACCAGAGGAUAACAAUCUCCGAGAUUCUCGAGAACGAGUGGUUUAAGAAAGGAUAUAUAAACCGCCAAGGUUCGAGCAAGCCGAUGUUACCCUUGAUGAUCCCGAUUCCUUUUUCGGUGUCAGUAUUCUCAAAACCUCGUUUUCGAAUGGCGGGAAGAAAGGCCUGCACUACCUAUUACGAUAACGUAUGAA